CAUAUUUUAUAAACUCUUCCGGUAUACCAGCUGGGACGCGACAAAAUGUUCCAAUGUGUACCUGGCGCAAAUGGCUGGAAGUAGAAAAAGUAGCGCCCCUUUAUAAUCCGGACGACUGAUAAUAAAUAAUUUUCCAUGAGUUGUCCGGUUCGCUUUGGGGCGACAAUC
rnacentral:snoRNA from 1 species